CCAGCCCUAUUUUGUAUUUUACUUAGAGACAGGGUCUCACUGAGUUGCUUAGUGCUUCGCUGUUGCUGAGGCUGGCUUUGAGUUGAGAUCCUCCUGCCUCAGCCUCCGAGUCACUGGGAUGACAGGUGUGCACCACUGCACCUGGCUCCAUUCUGCCUUUUUAUUUCUUCCACCUACCUCAGUAGAUGGGAUGACAUAUUUCGCCAUCUUUGCAGGCUUUAAAGUUCCCAACUUGGUCCUGGCAGACUUGAAAAAUUGAGGCUCAGAGAGUCCUACCAAUUUUCUAAGGGCACACAGCACAUCAGCAACUGAGGGAGGACUCCAGUGUCCUCUCUUCUAUACAGUGCUCGUCCACUCAUGCCAUCUUUUCUGAGAAUUAUUUUCACAUUCUGGGAGGAGGGCGGCAUUUGUGCCACCUGACCAUGGC
rnacentral:lncRNA from 1 species